AGCAGCCGCGGUGAUUCCAGCUCCAAUAGCGUAUAUUAAAGUUGUUGCAGUUAAAAAGCUCGUAGUUGAAUUUCGGGGUUAGUAGGUUGGUCAUGCCUCUGGUAUGCACUGGCCUCACUGAUUCCUCCUUCCUGAUGAGCCGUAAUGCCAUUAAUUUGGUGUUGCGGGGAAUUUGGACUGUUACUUUGAAAAAUUAGAGUGUUUAAAGCAAGCUAACGCUUGAAUACAUUAGCAUGGAAUAAUGAAAUAGGACGUUCGAUCCUAUUUUGUUGGUUUCUAGGAUUGACGUAAUGAUUAAUAGGGAUAGUUGGGGGCAUUAGUAUUCAAUUGUCAGAGGUGAAAUUCUUGGAUUUAUUGAAGACUAACCACUGCGAAAGCAUUUGCCAAGGAUGUUUUCAUUAAUCAAGAACGAAAGUUAGGGGAUCGAAGACGAUCAGAUACCGUCGUAGUCUUAACCAUAAACUAUGCCGACUAGGGAUCGGAUGAUGUUAAUUUUUUCAAUGACUCAUUCGGCGCCUUA
rnacentral:rRNA from 1 species